rnacentral:lncRNA from 1 species
AAGCUCCCCCCGUCCCAGUGAGGUGGGGGCAACAGCAGGGAACCAGAGAGCAACAGGACCUGCGAUGAAAGCACCAGCAGACAACAGUGUAUUUUACCCACUAUUUAUUUAAAAUAUUUUUACCCCACCUUUCUCCUUUAAAAUGGCCCAAGACAACUUAUGUAAAUUUUUAAAACACAAAGUCAACAUCUAGAAAACACCAGAGCCUGCAUGAUGUAGUGGACUGACAGUUGAACCAUGCCCUCUGUUCUCAUGGGAGCAUUUGUUAUUUUUGUCCCAUCAAGGAUGUCAACAAAGGGGGCGUCUCUAAAGGGGAAGCUCCACCUUUGUGCCCUCUGUGCCCAGUGUCCUGUGUCUUGGGGGGAUGCUGCCAACACAAGGCAGGCACAGUUCAGAUCUCAGGACUUUUCUGGCAUGUUGUCUUCCAACCCCCAACCUUGCUUAGGCUUCGCUCUUCCCUCUGAGCUCACUCUAAACCUCGUAGGGGUUGGAAAGGUGGCAACCGAGGGAGGGGUUCUUGGUGUGAACUGCCCCUGCUGUAAAAGAAAGCAGUUUAUGAUCACUUUCUCUGGAACGGACCCUUCAGAGCCAUUCACUCCGCAAAAGACCUGCCUGGAGAGGGAAUGCCCCAGAAGGAGAGGCUGGGUUGCCUUCCGGUCCUUCUUUCCUCUUGCCCUCCAUGUGGAAAUGACCGGAGCUCCUUCGGCCUGUUUCCAAAGCCCCUUUUGCUGCACCUCAUGGAGAGCCAAGAAGUGGAGGCAGGAGGGCGAAUCCCUAGGAACGAGAGGCAGGUCUUUUGCACAGCCGAUGGCCCUGAAUUGUCCCUUCAGGACCCAAAGACCAGAACAGUUUUUUCCUUGUGGGAAGAACAAAUUUCAAGAGAAGACCCUUCCAGGGGAGAUCUCCCUUUCGGCCUCCACUACCAAACAUCCCAGGGAGGAAAAUCCACCACCUUCUCUCUCCUGCCUGCCUUUUGGAAAAAGUUCAGACGCAACACAAGGAAGCCACCAAGGGAGACGAGUCGUCCUGCAGUUGAUCCUCAGCUCAGGGUCUGGUCUUGAGAUGCA